rnacentral:rRNA from 1 species
CCUACGGGAGGCAGCAGUGAGGAAUAUUGGUCAAUGGGCUUACACCUGAACCAGCCAAGUCGCGUGAGGGAAGACUGCCCUAUGGGUUGUAAACCUCUUUUGUCAGGGAGCAACGCCGGCUACGUGUAGCCGGACUGAGAGUACCUGAAGAAAAAGCAUCGGCUAACUCCGUGCCAGCAGCCGCGGUAAU